AAAUUUUCAGUCACAAAUUUUGACACCCCCGAGGGGACUUUUAAGGAGUCCCCACUCUGCUUUCUUGGGGAAGCCUAGCACUCGAAACAACUGCAAGCAGAGGAUGAACUUUUUUGGGGGGAGCUGACUACUGAAAAGUUAAGAGAUAUAGAAAAAUGCCUGGUGCCUGGGGUCAAACCAAACCAGAGGAACUAAUCCUGGGAGUAAAAGGUGGGGCUGAGAGACUCCCAGCAGCUGCCAGAGCCAUUUUGCUCUGGGGAACUCCCUCAUUCCUUACCUGCACUUUAAGGAUUACUCCACCUCUGUUUACUUAACAAAAGGGACAAUGAAUGCAGUAAUGUGUUGAUAUUAUAGAUUGUUUCUUGGGAAUGAUCUUGGCUGAAUGUGUAUCUAAAAGAUGAUUUUUUUUAUUGUAACAAUCUGGUAUCUGAAUGGGUUUCUAAAGCAUUGCACUAUCUUGCAGUUAAAAGUUGGGUUUAAGCAAUUGUUUAGCCUGAUUUCAGAUAGUUCAUGCUAGAAAACUUAAAUCCUUAGGAUAAAAAAAUUAAAGAGUUUCAAUUUUGAACUGGGUAGCCUGAGAAGAUUUCACUAGGUAUUCCAGUGCAUUAACUUGGGCAAAGAUAAUAAAUUAUGAUAUGAUAUCUGUUCCCCUCAGUGUGUAAGAUUCAGGAAAAAAAAAGGUGCUAAAUUAAAACAUUGGUCUGGCUUAUUGAAAUGACAUUAAUUAACAAGAGUCCUGGGAAUUUUUAAAGCUUAAUUUCAGAUACACAUGGUAGUGUGUGGUUCUUUUUAAAAUUUUUCAGGUAAUUUAAUGUAAC
rnacentral:lncRNA from 1 species